AGAGACGGAGAGACAAAGGAGGGAAUGGGAGAGCACAAAGGGAGCGGGAAUGAAAUGGAGCCUGCUUCCAGCCAUGUGAAGAUGCCUGCUGCAGCCUCGCCUUCUGCCUUGAAUAAAAGCUCCCUCAGGCCUCCCCAGAAAAAGAUGCUGCCAUGCUUCCUGUACAGCCUGCAGAACAUGAGAAGGAAGCAUAUGAAUGUUCAGAGAAGAUAAAGUCUAUGUACGCCAUAAAGGAGACAAUGGAAAAGGGGCCUUGAAGUAAAGGUGGAAUUGGCCAGGCAAGAAGGAUAAAGAAGACUAUUAUAGCCCUGGAAAAUAGUAUAAACAAAGACAGUCAGUUCUGCUCUAAGUCUUGUUUUGAAAACAUGAAUUUGUUCCAACCCAAUUCAUAUAUUAGGGAGCAAUCUAAGUGUAAUACAGAUUUUGCAUUUGCUGGUGCAUGGUUUUUCCCUGAGAAACACCAGAUGAAUGGAGAAAACUCUACUGAGCUGAACCAAACAGGGCAGAAGUACACAAAAUGUACACAAGGACACCUCUCAAAUUCCUACCACCUGAGUUUACAGGGUGUGUUAGAAACCCUCUUUCCACCACUUCAUAGGAACUCAUAAGCUGCACCCCUUCCAACGACCAGCUCCAUAUACAAAAUUAAUGUCUGUUUCAGGAUACUCUGCCAUAUUUAUUGCAGCAUGUAUCUAUUUCUUAACCAUUUAAUGUGUGAACUGUGCUACAACUUUAUUAGAUUCCUAUCUUUUUUGUUGUUAUAUUGACAAAACUUCUCAAUGUUGUAACCUCUAACUAUUUUUCCCAUUAGCCCUAUAGUUUUGUUUUUGUUGUUGUUGUUUUGUUUUGUGAGAUGGAGUCUUGCUCUGUUGCCAGGCUGGAGUGCAGUGGCACAAUCUCGGCUCACUGCAACCUCUGCCUCUGGGGUUCAAGCAAUUCUCCUGCCUCAGCCUCCUAAGUAGCUGGGAUUACAGGAGCAUGCCACCACCCCUGGCUAAUUUUUGUAUUUUUAGUAGAGACGGGGUUUCACCAUGUUGGCCAGGAUGGUCUCCAACUCCUGACCUUGUGGUCCACCCACCUCGGCCUCCCACAGUGUUGGGAUUACAGGCGUGAGACCAGACAGCCCUAUAGUUGUUCUUGGCAUGGUUUUUGCAUAACAGGGUGAUUUUAGGAGCAUAGAUGUUGUGCUAUAGCAAAACUGACUGCAGGGGUUAUGGAAUAAAAAUCUUGGAGAACUGUAA